AUUGAACGCUGGCGGCAUGCUUUACACAUGCAAGUCGGACGGCAGCACAGAGGAGCUUGCUUCUUGGGUGGCGAGUGGCGAACGGGUGAGUAACGCAUCGGAACGUACCGAGUAAUGGGGGAUAACUGUCCGAAAGGACAGCUAAUACCGCAUACGCCCUGAGGGGGAAAGCGGGGGAUCUUAGGACCUCGCGUUAUUCGAGCGGCCGAUGUCUGAUUAGCUGGUUGGCGGGGUAAAGGCCCACCAAGGCGACGAUCAGUAGCGGGUCUGAGAGGAUGAUCGGCCACACUGGGGCUGAGACACGGCCCAGACUCCUACGGGAGGCAGCAGUGGGGAAUUUUGGACAAUGGGCGCAAGCCUGAUCCAGCCAUGCCGCGUGUCUGAAGAAGGCCUUCGGGUUGUAAAGGACUUUUGUCAGGGAAGAAAAGGGGCAUGUUAAUACCGUGCUCUGAUGACGGUACCUGAAGAAUAAGCACCGGCUAACUACGUG
rnacentral:rRNA from 1 species